rnacentral:tRNA from 1 species
GGGGAAUAAAGAAUUUAGGAAUAGCUGCUAACUAUACCUAAGGUGGUUCAAUUCCAUCUAUCCCCU